UCAGAAUGGAUCCAGAAUGAUCGAGAGAGAGAAAGAGGGAGAGCUGGGAGCUCUCUGACCCGACACCUCAACCCGGUCGGCGCUCCACCGUCAGGCCACCUCCGGCCGGCGCACGGACACCAUCGCCUUCGUCUCAUCGUCGCCGUCACGAUUGUGGUCUUCGAUCGCCCAUGCACCGGACGAGGAGGGAGAAACGACAGUGAGAAGAUCGGACUGCUCCGGCGAAGUUCAGCCAUUUCCGGCCAUUGUUCAGGGCGCAUUCGUUUCUCGGCCUCUCCUCGGCUUAGUUUCGGCUUGGGUGUAUUCAUAGGAGCAAGCUGACAUCAAUUGGAGCAGAAAGCCCGAACUUGCUGGGUUGCAGACGUCGAACUCCAUUACCGGUUGAGCUUCGAAUUAGGUAGGACGGAGUUGAUCGACUCGGCGUCGACUAGGCUAUCUCCGGAAAUUGUGUUCUUCGUCAUCGAGGUUUCAUCUGCAAAUUCUGCCCCAGAAGGACUCCAGUUACCCGAGGAACAGAAGGUUCGCAACUCUCGGAGUACGUGAGAGAACGCAUCGGAAUCCAGUAUGGAUGCAGGUACUGUGCACUGGUGACGGGACAAUGGCGGACGGAGCUGGGUGUGCGGAACAAGUUUGGUAAACCGCCUUCUGGGCUUUAUUCUGCUUUUUAUUUCUCGAACUUUGUGUCCCGGAAUUCUUGGGUCAAACGCGGUUAAAUUCCUAGUCCUUAAAUCUUGUGCCUCCUGAGUGAGCAUUCAUUUCAAGUCUGGACGAACAAAAUGAUUUUUGGGCAACUCAAAGAUUUUCACCUCAAAAA